UAUGAACGCUGGCGGCGUGCCUAAUACAUGCAAGUCGAGCGAACAGAUAAGGAGCUUGCUCCUUUGACGUUAGCGGCGGACGGGUGAGUAACACGUGGGUAACCUACCUAUAAGACUGGGAUAACUUCGGGAAACCGGAGCUAAUACCGGAUAACAUUUGGAACCGCAUGGUUCUAAAGUGAAAGAUGGUUUUGCUAUCACUUAUAGAUGGACCCGCGCCGUAUUAGCUAGUUGGUAAGGUAACGGCUUACCAAGGCAACGAUACGUAGCCGACCUGAGAGGGUGAUCGGCCACACUGGAACUGAGACACGGUCCAGACUCCUACGGGAGGCAGCAGUAGGGAAUCUUCCGCAAUGGGCGAAAGCCUGACGGAGCAACGCCGCGUGAGUGAUGAAGGGUUUCGGCUCGUAAAACUCUGUUAUUAGGGAAGAACAAAUGUGUAAGUAACUGUGCACGUCUUGACGGUACCUAAUCAGAAAGCCACGGCUAACUACGUG
rnacentral:rRNA from 1 species